rnacentral:rRNA from 1 species
GACGAACGCUGGCGGCGUGCUUAACACAUGCAAGUCGAACGGUGAACCUCUUCGGAGGGGAUCAGUGGAGAACGGGUGAGUAACACGUGGGCAACCUGCCCCCGGCUCUGGGAUAACUCCAAGAAAUUGGGGCUAAUACCGGAUGUUCACCGCUUCCCGCAUGGGUGGUGGUGGAAAGGGUUUCCGGCUGGGGAUGGGCCCGCGGCCUAUCAGCUUGUUGGUGGGGUAGUGGCCUACCAAGGCGACUACGGGUAGCCGGCCUGAGAGGGUGACCGGCCACACUGGGACUGAGACACGGCCCAGACUCCUACGGGAGGCAGCAGUGGGGAAUAUUGCGCAAUGGGCGGAAGCCUGACGCAGCGACGCCGCGUGGGGGAUGACGGCCUUCGGGUUGUAAACCUCUUUCAGCAGGGACGAAGCGCAAGUGACGGUACCUGCAGAAGAAGCACCGGCCAACUACGUG